CAGUCGCCACGGUAAUACGGAGGGUGCAAGCGUUAAUCGGAAUUACUGGGCGUAAAGCGCACGCAGGCGGUUUGUUAAGUCAGAUGUGAAAUCCCCGAGCUUAACUUGGGAACUGCAUUUGAAACUGGCAAGCUAGAGUCUUGUAGAGGGGAGUAGAAUUCCAGGUGUAACGGUGAAAUGCGUAGAGAUCUGGAGGAAUACCGGUGGCGAAGGCGGCCCCCUGAACAAAGACUGACGCUCAGGUGCGAAAGCGUGGGGAGCAAACAGGAUUAGAUACCCCGGUAGUCCCUGUCUCUUAUAC
rnacentral:rRNA from 1 species